CUCACACACUCUGGUUGACAUUAAGACCGCCAUGCAGAGGGAUAAGUGUGUCCCGAAUUAGCAAGGAUGGCAGGCCGAGCUGGGCUGUUUCCAGGGUGGGCUGUUAUGGACUUGGUUUGGACCUCAGCAGCACAAAUAAUGAACACAGUUGGCUCUGCAGUGUAGCUCCAUAAUGACAAAAUCACUGACGCACUCCAUCUCUCCUGCUUGCCAGUGGUUGAUCAACUCGUGGAUUUUUUGGUAAAUCUUCUUCCACCAGUCAUGAAGAAAUCUCUCAGUUCGUGUCUAUGUGGCAGGGGUUUGUUCCUGCAUUUACUGCUUCAACGUACAUCCUCAAGAAGUCCUUAUAGCGAGGCGC